rnacentral:rRNA from 1 species
ACGCGAGCUGGGUUCAGAAAGUCGUGAGACAGUUCGGUCCCUAUCCGUCGCAGGCGUAGGAAAUUUGAGAAGACCUGUCCUUAGUACGAGAGGACCGGGAUGGACGUACCUCUGGUGUACCAGUUGUCCUGCCAAGGGCAUGGCUGGGUAGCUAUGUACGGAAUGGAUAAGCGCUGAAAGCAUCUAAGCGCGAAGCCAACUUCAAGAUAAGAUUUCCCACCGCAAGGGUAAGACCCCAGAAAGACUAUCUGGUUGAUAGGUCGAAGGUGUAAGUGCAGCAAUGUAUUUAGCUUAUCGAUACUAAUAGGUCGAGGACUUGACCAAG